GAAAAAGUAUGCAAGAACUGCUACCUCAUGACUCCCGUGCAUAAAAACGCACUUUUUCU
rnacentral:tRNA from 1 species